rnacentral:lncRNA from 1 species
UCGGCGGUGGGGGGCGCGUUUGGGGGCGCCGAACUCAGGGGGCUGGGGGCGGCGGGGGGGCUCUGGCCGCGGCGGUGGCGGCGCUUGGCGAUCAGGUAGAUGCGCAGGUAGACGAGGAUCAUGAUGAGGCAGGGGGCGAAGAAGGAGCCGAUGCUGGAGGAGAGGAUGUACCAGGCCUCCUCGUUGAGCUUGCACUGCGGCCGCCCGCCCGGCGCCGCCUUCUUCUCGCCCUUGUAGACCAGGGGCGGCAGGGAGAUGACGGCGGCGAUGGUCCAGACGAUGAGGAUGCUGCACUUGAUGCGGCGCGGCGUCCGCUUGGCGUUGUACUCGAUGGCGCGGCUGACGGACCAGUAGCGGUCCAGGCUGAUGGCGCAGAGGUGCACGAUGGACGAGGUGCAGAAGAGCACAUCCAAGGCCAGGUAGAUCUCGCACCACGUCUUCUGGAAGUACCAGUAGCCCAGCAGCUCGUUGGCCAGCGAGAAGGGGAUGAUGAGCGUGGCCACCAGGAUGUCGGCGGCCGCCAGCGAGACCAAGAAGAGGUUUUGGGGCGCCCGCAGCGAGCGGCUCGUCAGCACGGCCAUGAUCACCAGCACGUUGCCCGUGAUGGUGAAGAGCACCAGGAAGGUGAUGGCGGCCGCGAUGGCGGCGGUGGCCUGCACCGAGUACCCCCCCUCGGGGCUCUCCAUGGCGGGGGACGGGGGCACGGAGCCGGGAUCCGGCCACCGGCGCUCAGCGGCCCCCCGGGACGCGGGGGACGGGGCGGGAGGAUGAGGAUGGGGUGGGUUGGGGGACGGGGGUCCCGCUCGCCAUCCUGCUGCUGCUGCUGGGCUGCCCGCACCCUGCCUGCCCCCUGACCGCCCCCUGCCCGUCCCCGGUCCCGGUCCCGGUCCCGGUCCCGGUCCCGGUCUCGGUCCCGGUCCCGGUCCCCGCCUGCCGGUGCCGGUGCCGGUGCCACCGGGCUCUGCGCCGCCGGGCGCCGCCUCCGUGGGGUUUUGAUCGGGCGCGGGAGGGCUCUGAGCCGCCCCCGCCCCCGGGGCGGACCCGGGCGGCACCGGGGACACGCGGAGGAGCCGGGGGNNNNNNN